ACAUGCAAGUCGAACGAAGUAGCAUACUUAGUGGCAGACGGGUGAGUAACAUGUAGGUAUCUGCCCUUUGGCCUGGAAUAACACGAGGAAACUUGUGCUAAUACUGGAUAAGUCUUUACGGAGAAAGCUUUAUGCACCAUUGGAUGAGCCUGCACUUGAUUAGUUUGUUGGUGGGGUAAUGGCCUACCAAGACUGUGAUCAAUAGCUGAUUUGAGAGGAUGAUCAGCCACAUUGGGACUGAGACACGGCCCAAACUCCUACGGGAGGCAGCAGUGGGGAAUCUUGCACAAUGGAGGAAACUCUGAUGCAGCGAUGCCGCGUGAGUGAAGAAGGCCCUUGGGUUGUAAAGCUCUUUCGUCGGGGAAGAAAAUGACUGUACCCGAAUAAGAAGGUCCGG
rnacentral:rRNA from 1 species